AAAGUCGUAACAAGGUUUCCGUAGGUGAACCUGCGGAAGGAUCAUUAACACGUAUCCAAACGUUAAAUCAGGCGCUAAAGAAUUACAGAUUUUGAUUUUGGGAAGUUCUGUGUGUACGAUUGGGCGCUAGAUAUAGCACCCUGGUACCCUAGUCUGAAAGCGGCAAGGGAUCAGUGUUCAAGGUGGCGCAGUCAACGAUCGCUGGAGGUCCACACGACCGGCGAUCGGGGUGGAUACGUCAUCCCUAUGUACCCUCCGGGACUUGGCCAAAGCUGCCUCCGUCAUAAAUCGAACAACUGUUAACAAUGGAUAUCUUGGUUUUC
rnacentral:misc_RNA from 1 species